CCUACGGGUGGCAGCAGUAGGGAAUUUUGCGCAAUGGGGGAAACCCUGACGCAGCAACGCCGCGUGAUCGAAGAAGCAUUUCGGGGUGUAAAGAUCUGUCAGCGGGGACGAAACCUGACGUUACCCACAGAGGAAGCACCGGCUAACACCGGCCCAGCAGCCGCGGUAAUCCGGGGGGUGAAAGCGUUGCCCGGAAUCAUUGGGGGUAAAGGGUCCGUAGGUGGCACGGUAAGUCUGGUGUUAAAGGCGGAAGCUCAACUACCGUAGGGCACUGGAUACUGGGGGGCUGGAAUGCGGUAGGGGUAAAGGGAAUUCCUGGUGUAGCGGUGAAAUGCGUAGAUAUUAGGAGGAACAUCGGUGGCGUAGGCGCUUUACUGGGCCGUAAUUGACGCUGAGGAACGAAAGCCGGGGUAGCAAAUGGGAUUAGAUACCCCAGUAGUC
rnacentral:rRNA from 1 species